rnacentral:misc_RNA from 1 species
AAGUCGUAACAAGGUAACCGUAGGUGAACCUGCGGUUGGAUCAUUAUUGAUUUUGUUAAAUAAUAACCAAAAGUUUAACAGUGUUUGGUGUCAAAACCAUUCGCAUACACUGUGAACUGUGACUGUUUCUGGGUCCUAAUGCUCUCGAGCGACAGGGCCCGACAUAUUAACUAUAUACUAAUGUCUGAAUAAAUUUAAAUAAAAACAACUUUUGACAACGGAUCUCUUGGCUCUC